rnacentral:tRNA from 1 species
CAGAUAAAUAGUUUAGAAGAACACGCGCUUUGGGAGUGUGAGGCCUACAUAAAGUGGUUUAUCUGUC